ACGCACGCUGGCGGCGUGCUUAACACAUGCAGGUCGAACGGAAAGGCCCUGCUUUUGUGGGGUGCUCGAGUGGCGAACGGGUGAGUAACACGUGAGUAACCUGCCCUUGACUUUGGGAUAACUUCAGGAAACUGGGGCUAAUACCGGAUAGGAGCUCCUGCUGCAUGGUGGGGGUUGGAAAGUUUCGGCGGUUGGGGAUGGACUCGCGGCUUAUCAGCUUGUUGGUGGGGUAGUGGCUUACCAAGGCUUUGACGGGUAGCCGGCCUGAGAGGGUGACCGGCCACAUUGGGACUGAGGUACGGCCCAGAGUCCUACGGGAGGCAGCAGUGGGGAAUAUUGCACAAUGGGCGGAAGCCUGAUGCAGCAACGCCGCGUGCGGAAUGACGGCCUUCGGGUUGUAAACCGCUUUCGCCUGUGACGAAGCGGGAGUGACGGUAAUGGGUAAAGAAGCACCGGCUAACUACGUG
rnacentral:rRNA from 1 species